UGUGUUUAUCGCGUUGCCGUGAUGAAAAUCCUAUUGCGUCGAGUCUAUAGGUACGUCUUGUGUAGCAAUUUACGCUGUAGCUUGAUUUAAUAACAUGCACAUACCACCAGGAUGUUUUGAAAGUACCGGUCGCAGUUUUAUUUACAUAUUAUAUUUCCACAAAGGAAGACUAUCCUAACUAGCUCUACCAAACUACAAUUCAGUUAAAUCUCUACAUAAAGCUGAAAGCGCCGUGGGGUGAGUGAGUGAAUUGGCGCAAUGCCAGCCGGCGUCUCUGGCGCGCAGCCAAAUCGAGAGCGUACAGUGGAAAAAAUGGCCGUCGCGCAUCUUUGAUAUGCGUCAUGCGCGUGCGCAUGUUGCACGGUUUUAGAGAAAACCUGUUACGACUGAAAGAAAAUUACAACUAUCAAGAGAUGAUAUUGACGGACAGACGGCAUUGAUUGAGGAGGGGGGAAAUAAAUAAACUGAGAAACAUAGUCAAUGGUGUCGACAUAAAAUCACCGUAUAUUUUUAUUUAGACUAGUACGAUCGAUUUAAAUUAUUUUAAACAUUCUGUUAUAAUUCAUCUAUUAUAUAUAUAUAAAUGUAAUUGAUUUUCUAGAUUUGUUCUUUCAUAUUAAUGACUCAGUUAUAAAAAGAUAUAGAAUAAUAUAAUAAACGUAUGAAAGAUUGAAACGAGCAUAAGAGCCACAUUAGUAAUGCGCAGGAGUGUGUGGGCGGGGAGUCGUCCGGUACACGGCGCCCAAAGUACAAUUAACAAGAAAACUAGAGAAUAAAGACAAUCCCUUGAUUUAUUUCAAUUAAUUUAUAUUUUUUGUACAUCGUU